rnacentral:rRNA from 1 species
GACGAACGCUGGCGGCGUGCCUAAUACAUGCAAGUCGAACGAGUGGCGAACGGGUGAGUCACGCAUCGGAACGUACCGAGUAAUGGGGGAUAACUGUCCGAAAGGACAGCUAAUACCGCAUAUUAUUCGAGCGGCCGAUGUCUGAUUAGCUGGUUGGCGGGGUAAAGGCCCACCAAGGCGACGAUCAGUAGCGGGUCUGAGAGGAUGAGCCGCCCCACUGGGACUGAGACACGGCCCAGACGCCUACGGGAGGCAGCAGUGGGGAAUUUUGGACAAUGGGCGCAAGCCGGAUCCAGCCAUGCCGCGUGGCUGAAGAAGGCCUUCGGGUUGUAAAGGACUUUUGUCAGGGAAGCGGUACCUGAAGAAUAAGCACCGGCUAACUACGUGCCAGCAGCCGCGGUAAUUC